rnacentral:tRNA from 1 species
UAAGCUUUAGUUUAAUUUUAGAAUGUUUGACUGUUAAUCAAAAGGAGCUGUAAAAGCAAGCUUAG